GGGAUCCAUGUAGCAGGCUGGAUUACAUCUCUGCUCUGAAGACCACAUCUCCAAAGUGGUUUAGAAAUGGAAUUUGACCAUUUUUUACCUACAGAGGGCAGACCAAUUUUUGAUGGCUAAAUGUGGGAAACACAGUAAAGAAACAUAACUGAGGGAUUCACUGUAAAGGGGAAAAAAGAUGCAAAUUAAUCUGUGCAAAAAGCCCAUCAGCACCAUCUGCAGUUGGUUCCUGCCUGAUUGUUCAUCACUACAGCUUACACACUAUAACUGGAUGCCCUUACUUGAACCCUCAGAAGGUUCUCGAUUCAACUGCUGAAGUGCUGCAGGUAACCUCCAAUCAUUGGGCAUUUAAAUAAAGAAAACAAGCAUCAUCAUCCCUUCUGUCUUACUAUGAGCUCAGAGAUCCUCUGCUUCAAUAGAUGGCCAGUCAGGGUGAGCGAGCACUCUCAGACCAGAACUGGAAGAGCUUUCCUUCUGCCAGGACUUUAGUGAAUAACUGCUGCAAAUGGAAGGAGAACAUGCAAUCAUCUGAGAACAAACAAUUUUUUAAAAAUGCAGUGAAAAAUAUCUUUAAUAUUCAGCACAACUUAAUGAAUUGAAGACACUUUCCUACUCAGUCCCUACCAAGUUGGAACAUUUUUUCUGUGCAGCUAAAUUAAAGUCCUUUGUUCUCUUUAGAAAGCUGUUGCAUAGAAUGACAUGACAACAUCAGUAUGAAUUACACUGGCUUUUGUUAUAAUAUGGCUGUCAUACACGAAGGUCUUAGUUAUAGUGGCAUUUAACAAGAUAAAUUUACUCUCUAUAGAAAGAAUUUUGGCUAAAUGAUAUUCAGCAAGGAAGAACUCACAACUGAUGCCCCUUUUAAUUAAAAGACAAAAUGUUCUCAGAUCAGGCUGGUCUUAAUGUGGCUGUGUCAUUACAGAAAAAUAGUCUGGCUAUUAUUUAGGUGACUCAUCAAAAUGUUUUCUUAAUAUUUACUUUUGUUUCUGGAAAUUUUUAAGGAAAAAGUGUUUUCAGAACAUUCAAUAAAUUUGUUUAAUAGA